rnacentral:rRNA from 1 species
UGAAAUACANUCGGACUAGGAUAUAGCUGGUUUUCUGCGAAAUCUAUUUAGGUAGAUAGCUUAAUAAGGAUGUUUAUUAGUGGGUAUAGCACUGAAUAUCUAAUAUCUUAGAAGGGAGUAUGAAAGUACUUACUUUGGAUAUUUAAUUC